rnacentral:rRNA from 1 species
ACAUGCAGUCGAGCGCGCCCUUCGGGGUGAGCGGCGGANGGGUGAGUAACGCGNNNNNACAUGCCCUAAGGUACGGAAUAGCCUCUGGAAACGGAGAGUAAUACCGUAUGUGCCCUUCGGGGGAAAGAUUUAUCGCCUUAGGAUUGGCCCGCGUUGGAUUAGGUAGUUGGUGGGGUAAUGGCCUACCAAGCCGACGAUCCAUAGCUGGUUUGAGAGGAUGAUCAGCCACACUGGGACUGAGACACGGCCCAGACUCCUACGGGAGGCAGCAGUGGGGAAUCUUAGACAAUGGGGGAAACCCUGAUGUAGCCAUGCCGCGUGAGUGACGAAGGCCCUAGGGUCGUAAAGCUCUUUCGCUGGGGAAGAUAAUGACGGUACCCAGUAAAGAAACCCCGGCUAACUCCGUGCCAGCAGCCGCGGUAAUACGGAGGGGGUUAGCGUUGUUCGGAAUUACUGGGCGUAAAGCGCGCGUAGGCGGAUUAGUCNGUCAGANGUGAAAUCCCAGGGCUCAACCCUGGAACUGCCUUUGAUACUGCUAGUCUUGAGUUCGAGAGAGGUGAGUGGAAUUCCGAGUGUAGAGGUGAAAUUCGUAGANNUNCGGANGAACNCCAGUGGNGAA